ensembl:lncRNA
AUGGAGAACAGUGAACUCAGCCGGACUUUCACCUGCUCCUAUUGGGUCCAGAGCAGCCCCCCAAGACAGCCUCACUCCCAGUCUCUGCCAAGUAAUGCAGUGACCUUGCUCCUGACAGCCUGGUCUCUGCCCAUCCCCCUGGUGGCUGGGUGCAGUGGGGCUGCCACGGCUCUGGCUCUGCUGCUGCUGCUCAUCUGCCUCUGCAGGAAGAAGGUGGCAGCUAGCUGCCAGCUCUCCAUGUCCGACUGGAAGAGAGGGGAGUUGUGCCGGUCAUGGAUAGCGAGACGGUCGGCCGAGAUCUCCGAGCUAAGUAUGUGUGGUGUCACGGCAGAGACACAACCCGUGUAUGUCAACAUACCCUUCAGGGCCAGCACAGCUCUGCAGCAGUGGAGCCAUGAUGGGCAGGCCCAGCUGGUGACCCACAACCAGCCAGCGCAGCCCAACAACCCUGGAGGGAAGCCCGGAGUGGGUCAAAACCCCCAGGAAAGGGUCAAGAGAGAAGAGGCUGCAGAUGCCACAGAAGGGCACAACUCCUCAGUGAGCAAUCCUGUCUAUUCCAUGGUGACGCCCUCUAGUGCCGUGGCCCAGCAGAGAGGAGGAAAGUACAUCUCAGAGGCUGUGGUGUACAGCGAAAUCCCGUACUGAUCACGGUCUCUGCCACCACCCCAUCCCCAUCGCACCCCAUGCUGAGAACAUCUCACAUAAUGCCCCAUCCCCCAACCUUCCCUUCCCUGCAAACCCUGCUAAUGGCCACAAACGUCUUUCUGCUGUUUGAAUGCAAGGGAGUGGGGGGCUGGCAGCCAGGACUCCUGGGUCUUAUCCCAGCUCUGGGAGGGGAGUGGGGUUAGUGGGUUUGAGCAGAGGAUGGGGGCUGGGAGCCAGGCUCUGUGAAGGGAGUAGGUUAGAGCAGGGAGAGCGGUAAUUCCUAACGCUUGGGUUAGUUUCAGCACAUGGGUUUUAGGAGGGAGUUUGGGUUUUAAUCUGUUAAAGAGAAGCGUUUGCAGAACUAUGUGAAAUAGUCCAGAGGGGCCCCUACCCCUACGUCUGUUCCAAUGCACAUUGCACCCUUUUGUUGUGGGAAACCUUCUCUUACAGUGGCAUCCCCUGGAUAUUACUCCUGUUCCUUCACUGUGGAGUUCUGGGUCGGCGUUUUCAAAAAUCCUUUAAACAAAAUGAAAUCAAGUUGGUUUUCAUUAAGGGGUUAGAUAGGGCAGUGGCCUUGACACACACACAGAUCUCUUCCCCUCCAGUAGGGGGCAAAAGGGAGGGACACACACACACACACACACACCUGGAGGACAGCCUGCGAGCAAGAGAUCUAUGCAAUAUCCCCAGCAUCAGAAGAUCAUCCAAUACUUGGAUAUGUUAAUUGAGCCACUGAAAUGCAGCCAGCUCUGGGGUGAGGACUGACCGCUCUUUACACAGUUAGCGCCAGCCCUCCAAAGGGAUCUUCACCCAGGGCUGAAAUGCAGCCACUUCCAGGGGAUGGUUUAACAGCAGUUUAGCAGCAUCAGCGCAAACACUGCAGAAGUGGAUCUCGCCCCCAGCACAACAAUGCAGCCACUUCUAGGGUGGAAGGUGGCAGCUCUUGAAGAGCUGCCUGGCAGAGCUGGUCAGGAGAUGGGGGCCUGGAGAAACCUGGGUCCAACUGAGGCCACAUCUACACUACAGCAUAAAAUCGAAGUUAUUAAAACCGGUUUUAUAAAACUGGUUUUAUAAAAUCGAUUUUAUGCGUCCACACUAGGGCACAUUA